GACGAACGCUGGCGGCGUGCUUAACACAUGCCAGUCGAACGGAAAGGCCCUGCUUUUGUGGGGUGCUCGAGUGGCGAACGGGUGAGUAACACGUGAGUAACCUGCCCUUGACUUUGGGAUAACUUCAGGAAACUGGGGCUAAUACCGGAUAGGAGCUCCUGCUGCAUGGUGGGGGGUGGAAAGUUUCGGCGGUUGGGGAUGGACUCGCGGCUUAUCAGCUUGUUGGUGGGGUAGUGGCUUACCAAGGCUUUGACGGGUAGCCGGCCUGAGAGGGUGACCGGCCACAUUGGGACUGAGAUACGGCCCAGACUCCUACGGGAGGCAGCAGUGGGGAAUAUUGCACAAUGGGCGGAAGCCUGAUGCAGCAACGCCGCGUGCGGGAUGACGGCCUUCGGGUUGUAAACCGCUUUCGCCUGUGACGAAGCGUGAGUGACGGUAAUGGGUAAAGAAGCACCGGCUAACUACGU
rnacentral:rRNA from 1 species